GAUGAAGAACGUAGCGAAAUGCGAUACGUAAUGUGAAUUGCAGAAUUCAGUGAAUCAUCGAAUCUUUGAACGCACAUUGCGCUCUCUGGUAUUCCGGAGAGCAUGCUUGUUUGAGUAUCAGUAAACACCUCAAUUUCAUGAUUUUUUUAAUUUUGAAAUUGGACUUGAGCAGAUCCCAACGUACAUUUAAUUGUAUGGAGGGUUGCUACAAAUGCAGGUGCAGCCGAUCAUUCUUCUGGGCUAAAAGCAUUAUCUAGUUAAUCCCGUAAAACGGAUUAUUCACUUUAUUGCUGCAGCUUACUUUUAUAAAAGGAAGAUAUGGUCAUUGUGCUGACUGAUGCAGGAAUUCUCAGAGGUCUGUAAAGACUUUUGAAAACUCGAUCUCAAAUCAAGUAAGACUACCCGCUGAACUUAAGCAUAUCAAUAAGCGGAGGA
rnacentral:misc_RNA from 1 species